rnacentral:rRNA from 1 species
AACGAACGCUGGCGGCGCGCCUAAUACAUGCAAGUCGAGCGAGAAGACGUAGCAAUACGUUUGUAAAGCGGCGAACGGGUGAGGAAUACAUGGGUAACCUACCCUCGAGUGGGGAAUAACUAGCCGAAAGGUUAGCUAAUACCGCGUACGCUCCUUGGACUUCGGUUCAGGGAGGAAAGCGAUACCGUGGGUAUCGCGCUCUUGGAUGGGCUCAUGUCCUAUCAGCUUGUUGGGAGGUAACGGCUCACCAAGGCUUCGACGGGUAGCUGGUCUGAGAGGACGAUCAGCCACACUGGCACUGCGACACGGGCCAGACUCCUACGGGAGGCAGCAGUAAGGAAUAUUGCGCAAUGGGCGAAAGCCUGACGCAGCGACGCCGCGUGGGGGAUGAAGGUCUUCGGAUUGUAAACCCCUUUCAGGAGGGAAGAUGGAACGAGCAAUCGUUCGGACGGUACCUCCAGAAGCAGCCACGGCUAACUUCGUGCCAGCCGCCGCCGUAAU